GUGCGGCUUCUACUGCGGCUGCGCAAGCUCGACGCGCGCACUCUUGUCUGCUUACGAGGGCUCCUCCCUUCAGCUUUGGUCCCUCGGGGCGUCUGGGCAGCCUACGCUUUCCGUAAACACUGGGAUGCCGGAGCUCAGGCAUCCCAGACAGGAGGAAGUGUGUACUCACACCAGCCAGGAGGAAACAAGCCUGCCUGGGAGGACAGACGAUCAGCCCUGGCUGUCCCUCAGGAGCGGGGGGCCUCCAAGGCACACUGCCCACUGGGUCAAGGAGUAUCCAGGAGGAGUUAGAAGCAUGACCCAUCUGCCUGGCACCAGCACCUGGGGCUGCCAGGCAGCCACCCCUGCAGCUGUGUUGACAGGACCUGGCAGAGGGACUGACCCACCUUUGGAAAAUGACACCAGCAAUAUCAGGAUGUGUCAACUGGAUUUAUGCUAAGAAAAUAGGAUUUUUGGUGUUCCUCUGUUUCCCAAAGUUUGAGACACUUUCAGACACUCUGCUUUGCGGUUGUGGCCGAUGUUACCCAUGGGUGGGACUUUUGCUUUGCUCUAGAUUUUUGUAACACCCUGGGGAGUUUCAGGGGCCAAUGCUGAGAGAAGACCACAGGCUGACACAUCAUGAGACCCUCUGGGCAGGUCCACUAAGAGCAUGUAUUCUAGAACAUGCAGGGCUUGAAGCUUCACAAGAUAUUCAGUGCACUCCUUACAGAUCCUGUCAAAUGUGGACCGGGUGGUGUCAUCGCACCACCAUCAUCCCCUUGUUACCCCUGAGAACACAGCUUCAGAGAGGGGCGGCGCUGGCUUUCAGGCCGUUCAGCAGGGAUGAGUAGAAGGCAUGGAUGAACAUCUUAGAAGCAGCCACUGGCACAGGCCACAGAGACACGAGGACACACUGAGCGCCGGCAGCCAGGAAGGCCCUUGUCAGCGCGAUGACCCCGUCGGCUGUGACUUUGCUGUUGGACUCCUGGGAGGAGCCAAGCACCACCAGCUUCACAGGCAGCUGCAGGUCCAGGACGUCGGCGGCAGUGCCUAACUUACUGAGAAUCAUGCCUGCUGUGAUGAGCCCUUGGAAACCAUCAGGACUGGAUGGUAGGGGUCCUGAGAGGAUUGGGGGAGGAGGCCUUGAUAUGACAGAGUGGACAGAGGCCGUGGAACCCAGGACAGCCAGCCUGCUCCACAAUCCUCAUCCCCACAGACCUUCAUGUGUGGCUCCUAAAUAAGAGGAAACCCACUCCUGAUAAGUCAGGGGCUUUGAAAAGUGAUUUUGUUUAAAUGGUGCAAACAAGCAAGCCAAUCUUGGGGAGACAGGGCUAAACUUAAGUCCUUUAAGAAGCUCUACAUACUGACAAGAUUCUAGUUCCCUUCCACCUUAUAUGCUGCAAAGUAAAAAGUAUCACUGAAUGAGAAAAUCAGCAUAAAGAAGCCCAAUAAUGUCUGCCUGAGUUUCCCCUAUGAUGACUUUUGGUACUUUUUGGGAAACAUUAAGUAUGAAGUUAUUUCAAAAUAAUUUUUUGGUGCCUCUGCUUGGUGAUGCCUUAAACUCUGGGUAAGAGAAACACCAGGUGCCUGUCAGGAGAUGGCCUUUUCCAGGUUUCUGGUUAAGCUACAAACAGCUAACUGGCUGCUGUCAUCAAAAUAAAAGCUUUCUGAAGGUGGAGGCAUCUGAUACCCAGAGUGCUGCUAUCAGCCGGCACGGUGGGCCGCUGGGUGGCAGGAGCGUCGAGAAGGCCAGCUCGCUUCCUAUCUGGGAUUCAGAAUCAGCUAUGGAAACUUGAGAGACCUAGAGAAAAUAACUUCUUUCACUUUGAACUGAUUCUUUGCUUCAUAAGAAAAGUAUUAUCCAGCCACAAAAAUGGUCAAAAUUCAGAUCUACAAAAGCCUGUCAGGCAGAAACUGACCCCACUUAGGCCACGCCAAUGAGCAAGUCAUCAAAGCAGCCAAGACAGGUCCUGUGGGGGCCACCCAUGCACAGGGCCCAGCCUCGGGUCCUAACCCCGCCUAUGCUUUCCGCCACCAUAAAGAGGCCCAUCUGGGUAAGACCUGUCCCGCCUGCUGUGGGGUAUUAGGGCAGAUGGGGUCUGAGGGGUCUGAGGGCUCUGAGAGCAGCUGGCAGCUCAAGGACAUCCGGAGUUGGAGGAUGGAGCAAUGCAGGCCCUUGUGGUAAAGACAGUCCUGCAGCCGCGCAGGCAGGGAUGCUGCAAGUGGAGUGCCAGGCGGGUGCGGAGCCCUGUGGGACUGUGGAGGGGUCAGAGGGAAGCCAGGAUUUUGGGGUCUCUGAGAGUUUGGAGAAGGGGAAGAAGAUUAAAGCUUGUUUCAAAAGUUUCUAAUCAGGUGGGCAGGGCCAAGGGUGGCUGUGGGGUGAGACCCAUGACUCAGGGUGGCCCACUGUUACUCUAUUGAUUUUUGGGCGUUUUUUUCCAAAUUGAUUAUUCUUGCUGAAUGAGACCUGAGUCCUUGACUGUCCCCUUAAAGCCACCUGACUUGUUUUCAGUUCCACUGGCCUGUCGGGCUGUUUUCUACUCAACUCCACUCUUGCUUGUCUGCCCUCCCUGCCUGGGGCCCAGCCAGCAGUCAGCUCAAGGGCCAGAUGAAUUGGGUGGCUGUGCUCUGCCCACUGGGCAUCGUGUGGAUGGUGGGUGACCAGCCCCCUCAGGUGCUCAGCCAGGCCUCAAGCCUUGCUGUGUACCUCAGAGCAGCUCCGUACCCUGAUGUCACAGCAAAGAAACUUAGACAUGACACAAACUGUGGCUUCCCAAGGCAGCAAAGAAUGGCCAGGGGUCAUGAGGGCCGUGCCCCACUUUUGGACAGACCUACUCUAAAGUCACGCUACCUGCGUGCAAAUCAUAAAAUCAACACUUUUGAGGAGAUCACAGCUAUGCCUUCGUAACACAGCCCAGUCCGACCAGAUAGACGGUGCCUCGUGACCCGAAAACAAGCCCCCGGCCCCCCACCAUGUGUGUGAGCCUUACCUUGGACUGCACGCUGAGGGAGCGGAUGGAAGGGACAGCAAGGAGGCCGAAGCGCUCGUAGAGGUACUCAUUGGAGGAGCUUCCCUUCAGGAGGGCGAAAGGAAUGAGGUAGAGCUCCCCCUCCAGAACCAGGAUGAGCUGCCGGUGCCGGCCCACGGGGCCGCUGGAGUGCAUCAGGCCCUAUGGAGCAAGCACGGAGAGGCUGACAUGGGUGGCCCAGCAGGCAGGGGUUUCAGGCACCAGGACAACCCUGAGCCCUAGCCUGGAUGACACAAGCACGAGCAGGUGAGGCCUGUGGGGGUGUGGGGCGCCAUGGGGCAUGGGCCGAGUUGCAGCCCUGCAGGAGCGGCACCAACUGGCAUGCUCGCUUGUGGACUGGCAAGGGCUGGCCUGGCAGCAUCCAUCUGCCUCACAGUCCUGAGAAGGUUAGAGGACAGUUUCUUGAAGUUCACAAGAACCUGAAGUGGGUUGGAGACCGGUCUGUACCGCACAGGCACCCUGAGAAGGGGUGGGAAUGGCCCCUCUCAAAACAAGAUCUGUUUUCCAUUUCAAUGGACAAGAGGCUAGAAAAUCACAGUGAGGACGGGAGGUCUGGGGGCUGGCAUGACAGCCCCUGUAGAAGGGGAUGGGCUGGGUUCUAGGAUCUUCCGUGACCUCCUCUGAGAAAGAGUGGCCCCUUGGCUCUGGGCUUGGGAGGUGCCGUCCCCACUUGUUCCCUCUGGGGAUGUCAGGGGACCCAAUGCAUGGAUGACUCCCAUCCCUCUUGAAAGGCCGAGCAUGAGGACUCGAGGCAGGGUGUGCACAGGGCCACAGCGGACACAGCCUCAUUCCUGUUCAUUGCAGAACAAGGCUAAGGGCGCGGGCAUCUUAAUGAGAGCAGCAGGCAACAAUCCUGGAAGCUGGGUCCACACAGACUGCGGUGAACAAAGAGGUGGCGUGGAAGCUGCUGCUGCAGCCCAGAGCCUGCCAAGAAGGUCCCAGGUCCACAGGGCCUGCGCAACACUGGGUGCCAGGGGUGGGGCUGGCCUGCCCCCCAACCCCAUCUGCUGAGGAGUGGCUGACAAGCGGACACCCACCAGGGUGCCACUCGCUUGUGCCUGGGGAAGCAAAUGUGCUCGCUUGACCCGUCUGAUGUGCUGCCGUGGGCACUUGACUGAGAGUGGCAGAGCACUAGGCUAACCCAAAGUGACACAUGCCUGGCGGGAUGUUCAGUCU
ensembl:lncRNA TTC28-AS1 TTC28 antisense RNA 1